AUUGAACGCUGGCGGCAUGCCUUACACAUGCAAGUCGAACGGCAGCACGGGGCAACCUGGUGGCGAGUGGCGAACGGGUGAGUAAUGCAUCGGAACGUGCCAUUGAGUGGGGAUAACGUAGCGAAAGUUGCGCUAAUACCGCAUAUUCUGUGAGCAGGAAAGCAGGGGACCGCAAGGCCUUGCGCUCUUUGAGCGGCCGAUGUCAGAUUAGCUAGUUGGUGAGGUAACGGCUUACCAAGGCGACGAUCUGUAGCGGGUCUGAGAGGAUGAUCCGCCACACUGGAACUGAGACACGGUCCAGACUCCUACGGGAGGCAGCAGUGGGAAUUUUGGACAAUGGGCGCAAGCCUGAUCCAGCCAUGCCGCGUGAGUGAAGAAGGCCUUCGGGUUGUAAACGUGC
rnacentral:rRNA from 1 species